CCUACGGGUGGCAGCAGUGGGGAAUAUUGCACAAUGGGCGCAAGCCUGAUGCAGCCAUGCCGCGUGUGUGAAGAAGGCCUUCGGGUUGUAAAGCACUUUCAGCGGGGAGGAAGGCGUUAAGGUUAAUAACCUUGUCGAUUGACGUUACCCGCUGAAGAAGCACCGGCUAACUCCGUGCCAGCAGCCGCGGUAAUACGGAGGGUGCAAGCGUUAAUCGGAAUUACUGGGCGUAAAGCGCACGCAGGCGGCCUGUCAAGUCGGAUGUGAAAUCCCCGGGCUCAACCUGGGAACUGCAUUCGAAACUGGCAGGCUAGAGUCUUGUAGAGGGGGGUAGAAUUCCAGGUGUAGCGGUGAAAUGCGUAGAGAUCUGGAGGAAUACCGGUGGCGAAGGCGGCCCCCUGGACAAAGACUGACGCUCAGGUGCGAAAGCGUGGGGAGCAAACAGGAUUAGAUACCCCGGUAGUC
rnacentral:rRNA from 1 species